AGAGGGUGCAAGCGUUAAUCAGAAUUACUGGGCGUAAAGGGCGCGUAGGUGGUUUGGUUAAGUCAGAUGUGAAAGCCCCCGGGGCUCAACCUGGGAAUUGCACCUGAUACUGGCAGACUAGAGUGCAGUAGAGGGAAGUGGAAUUUCCGGUGUAGCGGUGAAAUGCGUAGAUAUCGGAAGGAACGCCAGUGGCGAAGGCGACUUCCUGGACUGAAACUGACACUGAGGCGCGAAAGCGUGGGGAGCAAACAGGAUUAGAUACCCUGGUAGUCCACGCCGUAAACGAUGAGAACUAGCUGUUGGGGGGCUAAUACCUUUCAGUGGCGCAGCUAACGCGAUAAGUUCUCCGCCUGGGGAGUACGACCGCAAGGUUA
rnacentral:rRNA from 1 species